GGUGGCUCAGUGGUAGAGCGCUUGCCUUUUAUGCUUGAGGCCCUGGGUUCGAUUCCUCAGCACCA
rnacentral:tRNA from 1 species